rnacentral:rRNA from 1 species
CGGUGGCUGGUGGGAAGGUGUUUUAAAUGCUUGGAAUCUGGGCACCGCAAAGCUAGGUGCACCGGCAGGAUUCGUUGCCAUCGCUGCUGGCUCUCGGGUCAUAUUGCGCGUGAGUGCCACUCGUCCCCUGCUUCGGCUCCCUACGCUCCUCCCUCAGCCAGAUCCCAAUCCAGCCUCCCCUCCCGUGUCGCCGCGAGCAGGCGUCCCCAAGUGCCUCCUUCUCACCGUCCGCCGCCGCCUAGGGACAUGGCGAACUACCCUCCCCUUGCCCAAGCUCGUUUCCCAGGGGAGCUCUACACCCAUGGGGAUCCAGAUCUGCGGCCGGAAAGGGGCGGUGGAAUCGUAUCGCGCACGCCAGGGAUGGAGGAACUCGAGGCGGACUUCAAGAACCGCGCCCUCCUGGCCACGGUGCAGGGCAGGAGGCCGGCGGUCUCACCGGAGGCCUUAGUUGAAUCCUUGGCAAGAUCCUGUGGGGUGGAGCGGCAACAUGUAAGGGUGGAAGUGACAUACCCGGAUGAUUUCUUCAUCUCGUUUGCUUUCACGGCGGAUUGCGACAGAGUGCUCCUCAAUUCAGGUACGGUCCGAUGCGCCGGUGCCCCAGUUGCGUUUCGGCGUUGGCAUAGGAGCGCGCAGGCAGGCAGUGGCAAACUCGACUUCUUCUGCAAACUGGGGAUUGAAGGGUUGCCGGCGAACGCCUGGGAGUGGAGCACCGUCAGUCAACUCAUCAACAACUUGCAGGGGCAGUUGGUGGAGAUUUUG